GACAGAGGUGCCAAGCGUUUAGGCGGAAUCACUGGGCUUAAAGCGUGUGUAGGCGGAUUUGUAAGUACCUUGUGAAAUCCCACGGCUCAACCGUGGAACUGCUCGGUAUACUGCUUAUCUUGAGCCACUUAGGGGCUACCGGAACAAAUGGUGGAGCGGUGAAAUGCGUAGAUAUCAUUUGGAACGCCAAUGGUGAAAAACAGGUAGCUGGGGAGUGUGCUGACGCUGAGACACGAAAGCCAGGGGAGCGAACGGG
rnacentral:rRNA from 1 species